rnacentral:rRNA from 1 species
AUUGAACGCUGGCGGCAUGCCUUACACAUGCAAGUCGAACGGCAGCGCGGGGCAACCUGGCGGCGAGUGGCGAACGGGUGAGUAAUAUAUCGGAACAUACCCUAGAGUGGGGGAUAACGUAGCGAAAGUUACGCUAAUACCGCAUACGCACUAAGGUGGAAAGUGGGGGAUCUUCGGACCUCAUGCUCAUGGAGUGGCCGAUAUCUGAUUAGCUAGUUGGUGAGGUAAAGGCUCACCAAGGCGACGAUCAGUAGCUGGUUUGAGAGAACGACCAGCCACACUGGAACUGAGACACGGUCCAGACUCCUACGGGAGGCAGCAGUGGGGAAUUUUGGACAAUGGGGGCAACCCUGAUCCAGCAAUGCCGCGUGAGUGAAGAAG